rnacentral:rRNA from 1 species
AGUGAACGCUGGCGGUAGGCCUAACACAUGCAAGUCGAACGGCAGCACAGUAAGAGCUUGCUCUUACGGGUGGCGAGUGGCGGACGGGUGAGGAAUACAUCGGAAUCUACUUUUUCGUGGGGGAUAACGUAGGGAAACUUACGCUAAUACCGCAUACGACCUACGGGUGAAAGCAGUGGAUCUUCGGACCUUGCGCGAAUGAAUGAGCCGAUGUCGGAUUAGCUAGUUGGCGGGGUAAUGGCCCACCAAGGGGACGAUCCGUAGCUGGUCUGAGAGGAUGAUCACCCACACUGGAGCUGAGACACGGUCCAGACGCCUACGGGAGGCAGCAGUGGGGAAUAUUGGACAACGGGCGCAAGCCUGAUCCAGCCAUACCGAGUGGGUGAAGACGGCCUUCGGGUUGGAAAGCCCGUUUGUUGGGAAAGAAAAGCAGCAGGUUAAGACCCCGCUGUUCUGACGGUAACCAAAGAAUAAGCACCGGCUAACUUCGUG